AGGAUUUUUAAGCCGCGAGACAAUUGAGACAUGGAUUGUGUGUCCGUGCCAUUCAGAGGGUGGUAUGGGCAAAACAAAAGAUUUAAGUGCCUUUGUUGAACAGGGUAGGCACAGGAGGUUGUUGGCACCUUCAUUGGGGCGAACGGGCUUGUGUUAAUGACUGGAGUGGAAUGGAAUCAAACACAUGGUUUCCAGGUGUUUGAUGCCAAUCCAUUAGCUUCGUUCUGGCCAUUAGUAUGAGCCGCUUUCCCCUCAGCAGCCUCCCGUCAGGGUAUGGUGGUAGGUGCUAGGCACACACCGGUUUGUGUCAAGAGCUGCAACGCUACAGGGUUUUUCACGCUCAACAGUUUCCCAUGGGUAUCAAGAAUGGUCCACCACCCAAAGUACGCCUAGCGAACUAGACACAACUGUGUGCGAAGCUGUCAUCAAGGCAAAGGGUGGCUACUUUGAAGACUCAAAUAUAAAAUAUUUUGAUUUGUUUAACACUUUUUUGGUUACUACAUGAUUCCAUAUGUGUUAUUUCAUAGUGUUUUUGUUUCACUAUUAUGCUACAAUGUAGAAAAUUGUAAAAUAAAGAAAAGACCUCGAAUGAAUAGGUGUGUCCAAACCUUUGACUGGUAUUAUAUGUUCCCACACCUUGCAAGGAACCAAAUGUACUAGCUGGGAAUACUAUUAGUCCUGGAGUUAACCUAACCACUAAUGAUAAUGUAAUCAGUGCUGUGUGUAUAUGUUUGUCUUGUAUGUUGUAAGGAGGUGCAACAUUCCACUGUGCCAAUGGACUACACCUGGGCCCGAGAGCUGGGUCUGAUAUAGGUACCGAAGUCGGGCUCCUUCAUGACCAGUAUCUGUGACGAGAGGGGCCUGGAGCUGAUCUAUGCUGCCAUGCCUAUCAGCUUUUAAAAUGGAGUUCUCUGACUGAUACAUGGGGCUGUGUAUUCUUCAAACAUGUCGGGGAACUCCUGUCUUAUAUGGGACACCAUACAGAAAGGACAAUGACCCAAAACUCACCUCCAGGCUGUGUAAGGGCUACUUGACCAAUACGGAGA